rnacentral:rRNA from 1 species
CCAAGGAGUCUAACAUGUGCGCGAGUCAUUGGGACCGCAAAACCUAAAGGCGUAAUGAAAGUGAAGGUCGACCUUGCGUCGACUAAGGGAGGAUGGGUUGCGUCACGAUGCAGCCCCGCACUCCCGGGGCGUCUCGUACUCAUUGCGAGUAGAGGCGCACCCAGAGCGUACACGUUGGGACCCGAAAGAUGGUGAACUAUGCCUGGUCAGGACGAAGUCAGGGGAAACCCUGAUGGAGGUCCGUAGCGAUUCUGACGUGCAAAUCGAUCGUCGGAACUGGGUAUAGGGGCGAAAGACUAAUCGAACCAUCUAGUAGCUGGUUCCCUCCGAAGUUUCCCUCAGGAUAGCUGGCACUCGCGUGAGCGAGUCUCAUCUGGUAAAGCGAAUGAUUAGAGGCCUUGGGGCCGAAACGACCUCAACCUAUUCUCAAACUUUAAAUGGGUGAGAUCUCUGGCUUGCUUGAACAGUGAAGCCACGAGAUUUCGGAUCAGAGUGCCAAGUGGGCCAAUUUUU